rnacentral:lncRNA from 1 species
UAAAAGUCAACUUUUUUUUACUAUCAUCUGCUUAGUCAUAUAUAGCCUAGAAUCGUUUCCUACCCCUUACAAAUUGUUGGGCUUUCACUUGAUGAGGUCCACACAUCUAGACAUGUAGCUGGAGUUGUGGCGAUGCUUGACCUCUUGGACAACAAGUUAUGAAUGGUUUUGGCACUAUUUUUCAACUCCAUAAAUUUGACUAACUAUGCAAUAAUGCUUGACAAAACAAGUCCUGCUGAGAACCAAACAUGCUUGAUGGGUAUAUGUCGAUGUUUGAACCCGGCAACCUACCGAGGGGGUGCUUGAGAUAGUAUUUUGGUUAGUGGGGCUCGUCGAGAUUAGGAACUGUAAACGCACACACACGUUUAGACAGGUUUGGGUGUGUUUAGACAGGUUCGGGCUGCCAGAGUAGCGUAAUACCCUACGUCCUGUUUGAGGUGUUGUAUAUUGCGUCCUGCGCUUGGGUGUUGUUAGUGUUGAGAAUUUGGUCCUCUGUUGUGGUUCUAUGAGGUCUUUGCCUACCGAUCUAGGGACCCCUGCCCUCCUUUAUAUACUCCAGGGGGCAAGAUUACUAGUCGGUUACAAGGAGUCCUAGUAGGAUUACAGGAUAUGAGUCCUAGUAGGAUUAUAGGGGAAUCCUAGUAGGAGUCCGUCUUCUUCCUUCCGUGCGGGUAUUGGGGAUCUAUCCUUGACAAGCCCCCGAGUGCUUCAUAGUCGAAUGCAACAGUCUUCGAGUACUUUUCAGAUCCUCACCGAGUAGUUUAGUGCUUCUCGAGUACUUUGUCUGGCUGAAUCUUCAAAGUUCUUCAAAGCUGCCAUGAGACUAUGGUGUGCUCAAGUUCUUGAUCGUCUUAAUUUAUCAUCUUUGGAAUGUGAUAUGGAGAGCAGCGGAAGUCGCAUUCCAAGGCUCGGGGGCUGAGGGUCAAUAAAAUCUUGAAUCUUUCUUUCUUCAUCUUGAAAAAAAUCAAUUGUUGGGUAUAGCUUAUCAGCCCUGGAGUCUUGGAAUGAUUAAAUAAUCAAUCCAAGGGUCUUUAGUCUUCACUCAAGUCGUCUUUCGAGUAGUUAUUUGGCAUCCAGCUCCCGAGCUUAUGCGCCAGGUGAGCCGUAGAAGCCACGUUGAGUAGUUAUUUGGUGCUUAGCCCCCGAGCUUGGAAACUAGCUGAGUCAUUGGAGAUGUUAUGAGUAGUAAUCGGCGCUUAGCCCCCAAGCCUGGGAGCUAGCAGAGCCAUUGGAGGUACGCUGAGCGUCCUGGAGAGUCGUCAUCGAAGCUUGACCUGAAAAAGAGAUGCAUACAUUAUUUAACAUAUUUGUAGAAUUUUAAAACUACUGAAAUUUAUUCAGUGAUGAAUGCAAUGUAAAUGUUGUGUGUCAUGCUCUUGUUUCGGUCAUAUUUUUUUCGAAUAGUUAGCCUUUUACAUUUAGGCUCUCAGUCCCUGUUUAGCCAUUGCCACUGCAUGUGAGAUCUUUAUCUCGUGUACGCGUACUGGCACUGCUGCUACGAAGAUCUUUGUCUCGCGUCCUAGCAGUUAGUCAUGACAGAAGAUUUGAGGCUUUUACGAAUUAAGGCGUGUUCUGCUCGAGUAGAUUAACAACCCCUAAGAGAAGACACUGAAAAUAAGUAGUCAGCAUUGUGACAAAAAAAUUGCGAGAUUGCGCGUAAAGUAGUCAUUAAAACAUUUCUAUCUUUAGGCGUGGAGAGCGUGUGUUGCCGCGCAUAGGAUUCGUGCCUCACUAGGGUGUAGCCGCUGUGAGCCUCCAACACUUAGUGCACCAAACUUUGUGGCAGUGCCUUCUAAUUCGGUGUACCAAGCCUGUGGUGGAGCUUCCGAAACUCAGUGCACGAAACCGUCGAGAGGCGUACAUAAAUAAGUACUUGGCGUGUUGCCUUGCAUGUGGAAAACAAGCCGGAAAAAUUAUAUAAAAUAAUUAAAAAAGUGACUUAGCUUGAUUUGUGGAUGAUUGUCGAUGAAGCCGUGUCGAUUGUUGAUGAAGCCAACUAGUCAGAGUCAAUUCCGACUAAUUGUUGAUCAUGUGGAACCCGCCCUCGACUAAUUUUCUAGUCAAGACGAGUAGUCGAAGUAGACCGUCCUCGACUAGUUUUCUAGUCGAGACGAGUAGUCGAAGUAGUCAGUCGGUGACUUGAUGCGGCUGGACGUCGGGGUAGCAGUGCUCGCGUACAUCUUCUAUGUACGUUAGGCUAUGAUUUUGAGGUCUUGUAGUAGCCUUCCAUGUGCGUGUAGUAAAAAUCCCUCAAAAUUGCUUUUCACGAAGAGUAGUUGGAGCUGAUUAUUUGCUACAAUCCGUGCGUGACUGUAACAGAUCUUUGUCAUCUUGGGAAUUAUGGCAUGGGUCCCUCGGUCUGCCUGAUCUCCCAACUCGAAUCGGAUUUGCCUAUGCCUUGAUCGACGAGCCGUAUGCAGCAGCCUGCGAUAGAAACCGACUCGAUCUUCGACUAGAACACGGAGCGCAUCGAUUCUAUCUCGGCGUAGAUUUGUCUGCUUGGAACUCCGACUCGGCGACUUUCUUCUUGUUGAGUAGAUUGAUCUUGAUGAUGAUAUCCUUCAAGUUUGCUGGAUGAUCUCGACGAUCACCCCUACCUAGCGCGCCAGAUGUCGGUAUUUUAUACUCGCAACCUACCGAGGGUAUUGCGAGGUAGUAGAUUGGUUGGUGGGGGAUUGCCGGAGCUGAAACUUGAUGGUAAAAGCGAGGAUACAAGACAUAUUUAUACAGGUUCGGGCCACCAAAGUAGCGUAAUACCCUACGUCCUGUUUGUGGUGUUGUAUAUUACGCCCCGCGCUUGGGUAUUGUUUGGUGUUGAGGAUUUGGUCCUCUGUUGUGGUUCUAUGAGGUCUUGGCCUACCGAUCUAGGAACCCCUGUCCUCUUUUAUAUAUUCCAGGGGGUGGAAUUACUAGUCAGUUACAAGAAGUCCUAGUAUGAUUACAGGAUAUGAGUCCUAAUAGGAUUACAUAUGAAUUCUAGUAGGAGUUCGUCUUCUUCCUUCGUUACGAAUACUGGAUCUAUCCCGACAAUACAUAUGAGGGCUGAUGUGCCGUUUGAUUUUAGUCAUCUGUCAACAGUCACAAUACAGGAGGUUGAGCCUCUUGUCGUCUCAAUGUAACGAGAGGCAUGAACAUAAUGCAUAAACCAUUCACGUGACAAACAAACCGGCAAUUAUGAGGAUCGUGCAAGCACACCAAACUUUGUAAAACAAUGUGUGAAACCAAUAGAAGGAUGUGUUCAGCAGUAUGGACGAUUGUGUUUGCAUUUAGUUACACGACCAAAGACUUGAAAAAUUUAAGGCAAAUUGAAUACUAAUCCAAAUAAGUUUUUUUCUUAACAUGGCAACCAGUACAAAGUUAACUUUUUAGCAUCAGUGCCGCACUGGGGUACAUACUCUACUUCUAUACCAACAUCUGCUGCUCUACAAAUCCCCAUGUCAAAAGUAUUUUCCGUUAUACGCUAUGGAUAUGAAACUGGUUUGUUGUAGAGAUAUAGUUUGAUUUGCACAUGUGGAUUUUAAUUACUUAUUACUGAAGAAAGCGAAACGGUAGUUCGAUAUGCACUAGUUCAAUUUACCAUGUGCACAUCAUCAUCUCAAGAACUCCGGGCAAAAUUUAUUUAAGAAAAAUGCAACUCGUACUUUGAUAUAACCCAUCAUGUGUCAUCUUGACUCGUCACACUCUUACAUAAAUAAAUAGCAAAAGAUAACCAUCACUCGAAAACCAUAGGUCGUCAACUACUGCCAGCUAUACUCAUAAGUUGACCUGAUAUUGCCAGCAACAGCAACAAUAUCUCUCCUUACUACUGUACAUCACAAAGGACUUGAUGCAACAGCAAAACCAAAAUUUAUGAAAAAAUUGCGCAAAAAUUCCAUACCUUGAGAAAGUAGUUGGAGUAGUACGCAUAAACUGUAGUAGGCUUAGGAAGUUUGUGAUAUUGGCACGGCUCAAUCAGAUCAAAGGAAGACACCACCACCUCAUCACAAGGGCAAAGAUCACCCGAUUUGAUUGAACCAUGCCAACAUCGCACGCUCCCAGCCAACCCUUGCUCCUAGCCGAGCUGACCUUCUUCUUGCUCCUCUGCAGCCAAGCUCCCAACGCAAGCUCAAGAGAGAACCUGCUGGCUACUGGCAACGGAACAAGGCAAUAGCAAGGCAGCAAGCUGCUGAAUUAAUAGGCGCGCGGCGGCAACGACGACGAUACCAAUGGACGUAUACGUAAGCCGAGAAGAAAAAAUAAACUAAAGCAAAAUAUAACGAAAUGGUUGGGACGUCGAUGUCUCGCUCUCGCCCAGCCUCAUGAAGAAAAUGAAGAAACCACGCAUCGCACGGACGGAAAAUAUAAACACAAAUUGCAGCAGCAGGCCAAGCCAAAGGGCAAAGGCGUAAGGAAGAGAGGUAGGCAUGGCCCGACCAGCCAAUGACUUGCCUUGCCGAUGCGUCUUUCCUCGGGGUAGUGGUUGAUGACUUGCGGCAGCCAGCGAGCUACCGUCUCCGCCCAGCAGCCCACCCCCCUCUGCCGGCCUGUAUUCAUGCGCUCCACCUGCCUGGCCGGCCGGCAGGACGGGAGCACGCACCAGAAGGCCAUUUUUUUCAGCGGGAUAACCUGCCUCCCGCGGUGAUUUCCGUCUGAACUCCCGUUGGCCGGCCGGCCGCGGCGGAUUGACCGCUUCUUGCAUCGGAACAGUACAGGCCGGUUUUGGUCAGGAGUUAGGCUGGCUUUGCUUGCGUCGUCAGCUGAUUACGUGUGCUAAUGUGUUGCUUGUGAAGCGUGAUUUGUCAGGUCAGUUGGGGCCUUGGGGGAGACAGUAGUACAGCAACGCGAGCAUGAGUGCAACGGUGUUGAUGACCUGUACCUUGAAAAAGUAUUGGUAUCUAGA